CACUCCUGCGGGAGGCAGCAGUAGGGAAUCUUCCACAAUGGGUGCAAACCUGAUGGAGCAAUGCCGCGUGAGUGAAGAAGGUCUUCGGAUCGUAAAGCUCUGUUGUUAGAGAAGAACACGUGCUAGGUAACUACUAGCGCCUUGACGGUAUCUAACCAGAAAGUCACGGCUAACUACGUGCCAGCAGCCGCGGUAAUACGUAGGUGACAAGCGUUGUCCGGAUUUAUUGGGCGUAAAGGGAGCGCAGGCGGUCUGUUUAGUCUAAUGUGAAAGCCCACGGCUUAACCGUGGAACGGCAUUGGAAACUGACAGACUUGAAUGUAGAAGAGGAAAAUGGAAUUCCAAGUGUAGCGGUGGAAUGCGUAGAUAUUUGGAGGAACACCAGUGGCGAAGGCGAUUUUCUGGUCUAACAUUGACGCUGAGGCUCGAAAGCGUGGGGAGCGAACAGGAUUAGAAACCCGAGUAGUCCC
rnacentral:rRNA from 1 species